GGUCACAUGACUCUGAGUCCUGACGCUCUGAUCUGAGGACGGAUCACACUGAUGCUUUCAUUUGUCUCGUUCAGGAGACUGAGGCUUCUUGUCCUCCUCGUUUGUCCACAUUCCUCUGGUGUCCAACACAACACUACCUGCACAAACACAAUCAAAGGGUGUGGCAGUCCUCUUCUCAACGCCUGCCUUCUCCUCACCAACGACAAAACCCUCCUCCACAUGAUGCAGAGACCAGACUCCACCAAUCAACGCUCAGGCCCAUCUCAGACGCCACCCACCGCUCUCCCAGUCUAUGGAGACGGGGGAGGACUGAAUGAUGACGCCACCUCUUCCUCAUCUCUAGGCCCCACUGACUUGGAUAAGAUGUGUCCUCACUGGGGGGGGAGAUCUCCAUCUGACUCCACCAGACUGGGAUGAUGCGGGUAAUGCAACACACUCCUCAACGCCCUGAGAACCGCCUUCCCCGAUGAAAUCGUAGGAGACUUCCUCUCAAGUCUGACUGUCCUGUUUGAUCAACACAGCGUUAUGAUGCAGGCUGUGUCCACCCUGUGAAGGCCGAGCAGACCAGAUAACACUGAGAGCAGAGCCAUCUUCACUGAACCAGGAGGAGAGGGGCGUGGCCGUGGGAGAAGCUUCUCUCCACAACCCAAAACUCCCAAAGACGAGUGUUUCAUCUGCAGAGGAAAAGGACACUGGGCCACGAACUGCCCCAGCGGCGAGGGGCCGGGGAGACAAG